rfam:Scleropages formosus scaffold6284, whole genome shotgun sequence.
UUGGGCUACGGUGACAUGUAUCCACGGACGUGGACAGGCAUGCUCGUGGGUGCCCUUUGCGCCCUGGCAGGGGUGCUGACCAUUGCCAUGCCGGUGCCGGUCAUCGUCAACAAC